UUAGUACCAGACUGAGAUCUCAGAAUGGAUCUGGUCACCGUAAUAACUUUUUCCAGAAGAAAACUCCAAAACAAUAUACCCCAAAACCCAUCACCAAAAAAGCCCCAACAGAGAGGAAUAAAUUAAAAAUGAGUAUUACUAUGAUAUACAGAACUUGGAGUCCAGAAAAUUCACCAGAGACAUGGUGCUUUCUGCAUUUUGUCUGGACUGAUGGUAAUCAAAGUUUCUGCAUGACAACUGGUUCAGCUUGGGUACUGAAAGUGAAACCUUCCAGAAAGGCAGACUAUGCCAGCUCAGAAGAUUCAAUCUUUUACUUUAUCUUAGAUAGUCCACUUUUUAAUUCUUCUCAUAGUAUAGCCCUGGUUGCAUUUUAUGUCAAAGAUUGCCUUUACUAAUGAAUUGAGCUUUGAAUAUGACUCAUCUCAACUACAGAGUACUUGAGGCAUCCUAAUGUUAGAUUAUUAAAAUUAAAAAGUUUAUUGCAAAUGAUUGCAUGUCUGCUCUUCCUUGAUACUCUUCUGUGAUAUAUAGGUGUGGCUUCAUUGAGAGGUGUCUGCAUUUAAACAUUUUUCCAUUUUAUGUGGUAAAACAGGAAUCAGGCCCAAGAAAACUAACAGACACACUCAGGGGUGAAAAUCAAUGUAAAAAUUUUGACCUGGGAUGUAAUUUUUAAUAGGAAAUAAAGUUCAUGAUCUUGACAUGACUGAAAAUAGUAUUUGACAGUAAUUUUUGUGUAUCUGAAGAGGACUUAAGCAUCACCAUGCCUAACUUAGAGAUGCUGUUUCAGAAGGUAGAAUUUAAACUCGCGUCCAUGAGGAGAGACAAGAAAAUGAACAGAAUUCAGGUAAGUGCUGACCUGAUACAUGUCAGUGGGUGGCUGAUAACCCCUGGGAAAUGCUGAAGUGAGGGGACAGACAUACAUGUCUUGGUUGAAACGAUAUUUGGAGCAUAACUUUGUCACAAAAGACUGGAGGAGAAAGAAAUGGUUGUGGUGAUCUUAGAAUUUUGUGGGGUGCUGACACUUCUCUUUACCUUGUGUAAUGGAAUGGAGAUCAUUUAUUUGGGAAUCUCUAGUCUGAGAGACUGUUUUCCAAAACAGAAUCUAAACCGAAGUCUCCUAUAUCGCAGGCUGUAGUAGGAUAUAAAAAUCAGUUGCUGUCACAGAUUUUCUUCUUGUCUAUGUCUAUGUGGAAGCAGGUAUGCUCAGAGUUUACUUGUUUACUUCUUAGUUCAGAUAUUAGAAGUGAGUUUGACAGACAGGAUUGAUAUAUGUGUUGGGUGCUGAAUUUUUCAGGCUUAGGAAGAAGCAUCACACAAUUGAGAGGAGGGAUCUAGUGAAAAUGUAGGUGAUAGUGAAUCAGAAGCUUAUAACGUUAAACAUAUCAAUGAGGAUAUGGUCAUUUCUAAUGUCUACACUUAGCAUGUACAAGCCUGUAAUGCAGUUGGAGACACAAAUAUUUCAUAGAAUCAUAGAAUAGUUUGGGUUAGAAGGCACCUCCAAAGGUCAUCUAGUCCAGCUCCCUUGCAAUGAACAGGGACAUCCUCAAUGACAUGAUUGUUGGAGCCUCAUCCAACAUGAUUCUUUCCAAGGGUGGGAUAUAUAUACCACCUCUCUGGGCAAUUAAGAAACCAAACAGGUAAAACCUAUUGUUUUACCACCCUCAUUGUAAAAAACUUCCUUAAAUCUAAUCUGAAUUGACUCUCGGUUUAAAACUGUUACUACUUAUCUUAUCGAACAGGCCCAGUUAAAACGUUUGUCCCCAUCUUUCUUACAAGCCUCCUUUAGGUCCUGAAAAGCCACAGUAAGUUCUUCCCAGAAUCUUCUUUUCACCAGGCUGAACAAUCCCAGUUUUCUCUCUGCUUUUCCUCACAGGAUAGGUGCUCCAGCUCUCUAAUCAUCUUCAUGGCCCUCCUCUGGACCCACUCCAAUAUGUCUUUCCUCUUGUGCUGAGGACCCCAGAGCUGGACACAGUACUCAAGACAUGAAUGUUCUGUGGAAUGAUGCAGUUAGAAGAGAAGCAAACCUACAGCUCCAUUGCUGUGAGAAAAACAGAAAGACACAUCUGAAGUGAGAAAACAAGAAAGUUAAAAUGGAGGGACAAAAAUCAAAUGGGCAAAAAUAAUUCCUCAGCCAUCUACCUGUAAAUGAAAACUUAGUGACAAUGUAUUUAAAGGACAUUCAUGUAUCUGACAUCUUGACUUCAAGUAAUGUAAAAAAAUUUUUGCAUUUAGAUAACGUUGACUUAUUCUGUUUUUCUGUAGUCUUAAGUAAAUAGAAGUAAAACUAGAACUAUAGGUGCCAGGUGGUAUUGUUGAUACAUAAGAAGCCCAAAAUGGGCUCUUAUCUACACUAAAACUUCAUUUAGUUCAGUAUCAUGACUCUCUGACAAUGGUCCACAGCAGAGGUUUAGGAAAAAAUACAAGAACAGUAAUAGCUGUAAUAGCUCCUGAGACUAUCUGUCUAGUCUUAAAAAAAUUGCAGUUCUGGGACUUUCUUACUCAAUGGGGAUCUUUUCAUAGUUAAUAGACCACCACAGAUCUUCUUCCAUGAUUUAAGUAAGGCACUUCUUUAGCCUCUGUGUAUUUUUAACAUGCACUCUUUGGCAAGCAGCUCCACAGCUUAAUUUCAUGAAGAAUAGUUUCCUUCUCUUUCUUUUGAAACAGCACCUUAAGCUUAUUUUCCCACCCCUUAGUUCUUGUACUUAAUAAGCCUGUGAACAUUCUUGUACUUAAUAAGCCUGUGAACCAUUAUCAACUAUUUACAUUUUUUAUAUCACUUGGGAUAUUUAUAGAUUAAGUCCAGCAGGUGAAAAUAUAAUACUUACUUUACAUGACUAGAACAAUUCAGAUGCCAGCCUAUAGAGCAAUGGGUCUUGAUGUCAAACACUUCAUGAUAAUGUAGAAAUAUAGAGAGAAAAAUCUUAAUUUGUGCUACUAUACUUUUUGAAGUCUUCUGGUGAAAUUUAUGACCAGAGUGAACAUGGCCGGCAUCACAGCAUCACGAUGAGUAUACCUUAAUGGAUAUUUUUACAGGUUUGAGAGUUGUAUUAAACAUUUUUAUGUUGCCUCACUACUCACAAAUAGUAGGAACUAAGAUUCUAAUGAAUCUUUGAAGAUUAUUGGAAAGAGAUGUGGACUUAAGACCUAACCCAAUAAUUUUACAAGGUAAUAGAAUGUAUUAAUGUUAGUGUUACUCUGGUAAACAUUUCUGGUAUUGACUGCAUUAUGCCUAACAGAUCGAUAUUUUUCAGCUACUUAAUUAUCUGGGUGACUGCAUUUGCCAAUUCAGACAUAAAUAAAUGUCUUACCUGAUCAAAUACU